rnacentral:rRNA from 1 species
UACGUAGGUGGCAAGCGUUGUCCGGAUUUACUGGGCGUAAAGAGCGCGCAGGCGGUCGGAUAAGUCGAAUGUGAAAGCCCUCGGCUCAACUGGGGAGGGUCAUUCGAUACUGUUCGACUCGAAGGCAGGAGAGGGAAGUGGAAUUCCCGGUGUAGUGGUGAAAUGCGUAGAUAUCGGGAGGAACACCAGUGGCGAAGGCGACUUCCUGGCCUGUUCUUGACGCUGAGGCGCGAAAGCUAGGGGAGCAAACGGG